GCUACUCCUACUUUACCUCGGAUAUCCUCAUUCCCAAUCUUAUCCUUUCUCGUGUGCCCACACAUCCCACGAAGCAUCCUCAUCUCCGCUACACCCAUUUUGUGUACGUGUUGAUGCUUCACCGCCCAACAUUCUGUGCCAUACAACAUCGCUGGCCUUAUUGUCGUCCUAUAAAAUUUUCCCUUGAGCUUCAGUGGCCUACGACGGUCACACAACACGCCGGAUGCACUCUUACACUUCAUCCAUCCAGCUCGUAUUCUAUGGUUGAGAUCUCCAUCUAAUUCUCCGUUCUCUUGCAAGAUAGAUCCUAGGUAGCGAAAACGGUCGCUUUUUGUGAUCUUCGCUAGAUUGCUCCGGUCAUUAGUGUGGAUAAGUAUAUAAAUGGAUAGAGAUAGGAAAGCAAACACAAGAUGUACGUGGUUCACCCAGAUUGGCUACGUCCACAGAAUAGAAGAGUUCUCAUUAAUUGUGAAGGGUUUACACAAGUACAUAGGUUCAAGCUCUCCUUUAGUGAGUACAAGUGAAUGAUUU
rnacentral:lncRNA from 1 species